rnacentral:lncRNA from 1 species
UCCCACUUGCACUAAAGACAAUCGUCAUGGUAUCUCAUACUCUUCUUCUCUAAGUGACGAUUAUCUUGUUAUUGGAUAAACUUUAGUUAAUGGAUAUGUAAUGUUGUUCAUGAGAUUCCACUAUCUCUAUAGUGAUUUCCCAUCUUUCAAUUAUUCUAAUAAUCAAAUGAAAGUGCCACAACACAUGUUUAGAUCCAAGAUGAGACUUAGGAACUAUUCCUAGUUCUGUAAUGAACUUUUCAUCUAAACAAUCAACUUGCAGCUUCAUUUAUAGCUAUAUACUUUGUCUUCAUCACUAAAUCAGCAACUCUUUGCUAUUUGAAACCUUUUUAAUUUCACUGCACCACCGUUCAAGGUAACGCUUUACCUUAAAGUGGAUUUUCUGUCGUCUUGGUCUGUUUGAAAA